CACAGCCGUGCCAAAAAAUCAGCCCCGGAAUGUCGGGGCGCCAAGACAACCCAGCGGAAAAAUGGCCAAAAAACGGGUGGGCUAUAGCCUUGGUGGGGGGCGUGGGCGAAGUUCGUCCGCCGGACUCGGAAUGGCCCCAGACUUUGCGGGCGGCCUCCGUGUGCCAAAAAUAGGCCACGGCCACAGCCGCGCCCAAAAAUCAGCCCCCGAAGGUCGGGGUGCCAAGACCCCCCAGCGGAAAAAUGGCCAAAAAACGGGUGGGCUAUAGCCUUGGUGGGGGGCGUGGGCGAAGUUCGUCCGCCGGACUCGGAAUCGCCCCAGACUUUGCGGGCGGCCUUCGUGUGCCAAAAAUAGGCCACGGGCACAGCCGCGCCCAAAAAUCAUCCCCCGAAGGUCGGGGCGCCAAGACGCCCCAGCGGAAAAAUGGCCAAAAAACGGGUGGGCUAUAGCCUUGGUGGGGGGCGUGGGCGAAGUUCGUCCGCCGGACUCGGAGUGGCCCCAGACUUUGCGGGCGGCCUCUGUUUGCCAAUAUUAGGCAACGGGCACAGCCGCGCCCAAAAAUCAGCCCCCGAAUGUCGGGGCGCCAAGACCCCCCAGCGGAAAAAUUGCCAAAAAAUGGGUGGGCUAUAGCCUUGGUGGGGGGCGUUGGCGAAGUUUGUCCGCCGGACUCGGAAUGGCCCCAGACUUUGCGGGUGGCCUCCGUGUGCCAAAAAUUGGCCACGGACACAGCCGCGCCCAAAAAUUAGCCCCCGAUGGUCGGGAGGCCAAGACCCCCCAGUGGAAAAAUGGGCAACAAACGGGUGGGCUAUAGCCUUGGUGGGGGGCGUGGGCGAAGUUCGUCCGCCGGACUCGGAAUGGCCCCAGACUUUGCGGGCGGCCUCCGUGUGCCAAAAAUAGGCCACGGCCACAGCCGCGGCCAAAAAUCAGCCCCCGAAGGUCGGGGCGCCAAGACCCCCCAGCGGAAAAAUGGCCAAAAAACGGGUGGGCUAUAGCCUUGGUGGGGGGCGUGGGCGAAGUUCGUCCGCCGGACUCAGAAUGGCCCCACACUUUGCGGGCGGCCUCCGUGUGCCAAAAAUAGGCCACGGGCACAGCCGCGCCCAAAAAUCAGCCCCCGAAGGUCGGGGCGCCAAGAACCCCCAGCGGAAAAAUGGCCAAAAAACAGGUGGGCUAUAGCCUUGGUGGGGGGCGUGGGCGAACUUCGUCCGCCGGACUCGGAAUGGCCCCAGACUUUGCGGGCGACCUCCGUGUGCCAAAAAUAGGCCACGGGCAAAGCCGUGCCCAGAAAUGAGCCCCUGAAUGUCGGGGCGCCAAGACACCCCAGCGGAAAAAUUGCCAAAAAACGGGUGGGCUAUAGCCUUGGUGGGGGGCGUGGGCGAACUUCGUCCGCCGGACUCGGAAUGGCCCCAGACUUUGCGGGCGACCUCCGUGUGCCAAAAAUAGGCCACGGGCAAAGCCGUGCCCAGGAAUGAGCCCCUGAAUGUCGGGGCGCCAAGACACCCCAGCGGAAAAAUUGCCAAAAAACGGGUGGGCUAUAGCCUUGGUGGGGGGCGUGGGCGAACUUCGUCCGCCGGACUCGGAAUGGCCCCAGACUUUGCGGGCGGCCUCCGUGUGCCAAAAAUAGGCCACGGCCACAGCCGCGCCAAAAAAUCAGCCCCGGAAUGUCGGAACGCCAAGACAACCCAGCGGAAAAAUGGCCAAAAAACGGGUGGGCUAUAGCCUUGGUGGGGGGCGUGGGCGAAGUUCGUCCGCCGGACUCGGAAUGGCCCCAGACUUUGCGGGCGGCCUCCGUGUGCCAAAAAUAGGCCACGGGCACAGCCGCGCCCAAAAAUCAGCCCCCGAAGGUCGGGGCGCCAAGACCCCCCAGCGGAAAAAUGGCCAAAAAACGGGUGGGCUAUAGCCUUGGUGGGGGGCGUGGGCGAAGUUCGUCCGCCGGGCUCAGAAUGGCCCCACACUUUGCCGGCGGCCUCCGUGCGCCAAAAAUAGGCCACGGGCACAGCCGCGCCCAAAAAUCAGCCCCCGAAGGUCGGGGCGCCAAGACCCCCCAGCGGAAAAAUGGCCAAAAAACGGGUGGGCUAUAGCCUUGGUGGGGGGCGUGGGCGAACUUCGUCCGCCGGACUCGGAAUGGCCCCAGACUUUGCGGGCGACCUCCGUGUGCCAAAAAUAGGCCACGGGCAAAGCCGUGCCCAGAAAUGAGCCCCUGAAUGUCGGGGCGCCAAGACACCCCAGCGGAAAAAUUGCCAAAAAACGGGUGGGCUAUAGCCUUGGUGGGGGGCGUGGGCGAAGUUCGUCCGCCGGACUCGGAAUGGCCCCAGACUGUGCGGGCGGCCUCCGUGUGCCAAAAAUAGGCCACGGCCACAGCCGCGCCCAAAAAUCGGCCCCCGAAGGUCGGGGCGCCAAGACCCCCCAGCGGAAAAAUGGCCAAAAAACGGGUGGGCUAUAGCCUUGGUGGGGGGCGUGGGCGAAGUUCGUCCGCCGGACUCGGAAUGGCCCCAGACUUUGCGGGCGGCCUCCGUGUGCCAAAAAUAGGCCACGGGCACAGCCGCGCCCAAAAAUCAGCCCCCGAAUGUCGGGGCGCCAAGACCCCCCAGCGGAAAAAUGGCCAAAAAAUGGGUGGGCUAUAGCCUUGGUGGGGGGCGUUGGCGAAGUUUGUCCGCCGGACUCGGAAUGGCCCCAGACUUUGCGGGUGGCCUCCGUGUGCCGAAAAUAGGCCACGGACACAGCCGCGCCCAAAAAUUAGCCCCCGAUGGUCGGGAGGCCAAGACCCCCCAGUGGAAAAAUGGGCAACAAACGGGUGGGCUAUAGCCUUGGUGGGGGGCGUGGGCGAAGUUCGUCCGCCGGACUCGGAAUGGCCCCAGACUUUGCGGGCGGCCUCCGUGUGCCAAAAAUAGGCCACGGCCACAGCCGCGGCCAAAAAUCAGCCCCCGAAGGUCGGGGCGCCAAGACCCCCCAGCGGAAAAAUGGCCAAAAAACGGGUGGGCUAUAGCCUUGGUGGGGGGC
rnacentral:lncRNA from 1 species